GGUGAGAAUCCUGCCCACCGAAAAUCUAAGGUUUCCUGAGGAAGGUUCGUCCACUCAGGGUUAGUCGGGGCCUAAGCCGAGGGCGAAAGCCAUAGGCGAUGGAUAACAGGUAGAAAUUCCUGUACCACCGAAGGUUGUUUGAAUGAUGUGGGGACACAGGAGGAUAAGCUGAGCACGCCGUUGGUAGAGCGUGUCCAAGCGUCAAGGGAGUAUGAAUAGGCAAAUCCGUUCAUAUAUAUUCUGAGGCGUGAUGGGGUGGUCAAUAGACCGGAAGCAGCUGAUUUCACACUGUCAAGAAAAGCCGCUAAUUAGACCUAAGGUGCCCGUACCGCAAACCGACACAGGUAGAUGAGGAGAGAAUCCUAAGGUGAGCGAGAGAACUAUUGUUAAGGAACUCGGCAAAAUGACCCCGUAACUUCGGGNNNNNNNNNAAACACAGGUCUCUGCAAAACCGAAAGGUGAAGUAUAGGGGCUGACACCUGCCCGGUGCUGGAAGGUUAAGAGGAGAUGUCAUCGCAAGAGAAGCAUUGAAUUGAAGCCCCAGUAAACGGCGGCCGUAACUAUAACGGUCCUAAGGUAGCGAAAUUCCUUGUCGGGUAAGUUCCGACCCGCAUGAAAGGUGUAAUGAUUUGGGCACUGUCUCAACAAGGGACCCGGUGAAAUCGAAAUACCUGUGAAGAUGCAGGUUACCCGCAACUGGACAGAAAGACCCCAUGGAGCUUUACUGUAGUUUGAUAUUGAGUUUCGGUUAAGUAUGCACAGGAUAGGUGGGAGACGAUGAGACUGGUCUUUCGGGAUCAGAGGAGUCACUGUUGGGAUACCACUCUUACUUAAUUGAAAUUCUAACUCUAAGCCGUGAUCCGGCUAGAGGACCGUGGCAGAUGGGCAGUUUGACUGGGGCGGUCGCCUCCCAAAGAGUAACGGAGGCGUUCAAAGGUUCCCUCAGGCUGGAUGGAAAUCAGCCUAAGAGUGCAAACGCAUAAGGGAGCUUGACUGCAAGACUGACGGGUCGAGCAGGUACGAAAGUAGGAGUUAGUGAUCCGGCGGUUCCGCAUGGAAGGACCGUCGCUCAACGGAUAAAAGCUACCCCGGGGAUAACAGGCUGAUACUUCCCAAGAGUCCAUAUCGACGGAAGUGUUUGGCACCUCGAUGUCGGCUCGUCUCAUCCUGGGGCUGGAGAAGGUCCCAAGGGUUGGGCUGUUCGCCCAUUAAAGAGGCACGCGAGCUGGGUUCAGAACGUCGUGAGACAGUUCGGUCCCUAUCCACUGCAGGCGCCGGAAAUUUGAGAAGAUCUGACCUUAGUACGAGAGGACCGGGAUGGACAGACCUCUGAUGUAUCAGUUGUCACGCCAGUGGCAUGGCUGAGUAGUCACGUUUGGAAUGGAUAACCGCUGAAAGCAUCUAAGCGGGAAACUAACUUCAAGAUAAGUAUUCUUUAAGAUACCUUCGAGCCUAGGAGGUUGAUAGGUUGGGGGUGUAAGUGCAGCAAUGCAUUUAGCUGACUAGUACUAAUAUUACGUCUGCUUUUAAG
rnacentral:rRNA from 1 species